GUUCAUGAUAAGUAACAUUUCUUCAAUUUGACCUGAUGUGUAUUGAAGAAAACCAGCAUCUGAGG
rnacentral:snoRNA from 10 species